rnacentral:rRNA from 1 species
AACGAACGUUAGCGGCGCGCUUAACACAUGCAAGUCGAGCGGGGGAGCAAUCCCUAGCGGCAGACGGGUGAGUAAACGCGUAAAUAAACGUGCCCCUUGGUUUGGGAUAGCUGGCCGAAAAGGCCAGGUAAUACCGGAUGUGGCCAUUGAGAGACAUCUCUUGAUGAAGAAAGCAGUAAUGCGCCAGGGGAUCGGUUUGCGACCUAUCAGCUAGUUGGUGAGGUAACGGCUCACCAAGGCUUCGACGGGUAGCCGGUCUGAGAGGAUGAUCGGCCACACUGGCACUGAGAUACGGGCCAGACUCCUACGGGAGGCAGCAGUGAGGAAUUUUGCGCAAUGGGCGAAAGCCUGACGCAGCGACGCCGCGUGAGGGAUGAAGGUCUUCGGAUCGUAAACCUCUGUCAGUGGGGAAGAGUACGGACGGUACCCGCUGAGGAAGCUUCGGCUAACUACGUGCCAGCCGCCGCUGUAAAU